GAUGAACGCUGGCGGCGUGCCUAAUACAUGCAAGUAGAACGCUGAAGGAAGGAGCUUGCUCUUUCCGGAUGAGUUGCGAACGGGUGAGUAACGCGUAGGUAACCUGCCUGGUAGCGGGGGAUAACUAUUGGAAACGAUAGCUAAUACCGCAUAACAGUAGAUGUUGCAUGAUAUCUACUUAAAAGGUGCAAUUGCACCACUACCAGAUGGACCUGCGUUGUAUUAGCUAGUUGGGGAGGUAACGGCUCACCAAGGCGGCGAUACAUAGCCGACCUGAGAGGGGGAAUGGCCACCCCUGGACUGAGACACGGCCCAGACUCCUACGGGAGGCAGCAGGAGGGAAUCUUCGGCAAUGGACGGAAGGCUGACCGAGCAACGCCGCGUGAGGGAAGAAGGUUUUCGGAUCGGAAAGCCCGGUUGUAAGGGAAGAACGAGUGUGAGAGUGGAAAGUUCACACUGUGACGGUAUCUUAACAGAAAGGGACGGCUAACUACGUG
rnacentral:rRNA from 1 species